CCCCUCUCAGGAUGGUACCUGGAGAGUUUCCCGUCCUCUACCAGUCUCGGCUACGGGAGGGAGAGCCCAGCAGAAGCAUAUCCAUUCCAUUUCUAGCUCGGGCAGUGGCUAGCGAGUGGCAGGCAAUCUGCUACAAGU